rnacentral:misc_RNA from 1 species
GAUGAAGAACGCAGCGAAAUGCGAUAAGUAAUGCGAAUUGCAGAAUUCCAGUGAGUCAUCGAAUCUUUGAACGCACAUUGCGCCCUUUGGUAUUCCGAAGGGCAUGCCUGUUCGAGCGUCAUUAUCACCCCUCAAGCCCUCGGCUUGGUGUUGGGCGGUUUGGUGGAGGCCCCCUCGGGGGCUCCUGCCCCUCCCAAAGACAAUGACGGCGGCCUCGUUGGACCCCCGGUACACUGAGUUCUUCACGGGACACGUAUCGGACACAUGGGUUUACGGGACACGGUCUGCCUCCCCUCAGGGAGAAUCUUUCUAAGGUUGACCUCGGAUCAGGUAGGGAUACCCGCCGAACUUAAGCAUAUCAAUAAGCGGAGGA